rnacentral:rRNA from 1 species
CCUACGGGGGGCAGCAGUGGGGAAUAUUGCACAAUGGGGGAAACCCUGAUGCAGCGACGCCGCGUGAGCGAGGAAGUAUUUCGGUAUGUAAAGCUCUAUCAGCAGGGACGAAAAAAGACGGUACCUGACUAAGAAGCCCCGGCUAACUACGUGCCAGCAGCCGCGGUAAUACGUAGGGGGCAAGCGUUAUCCGGAUUUACGGGGUGUAAAGGGAGCGUAGGCGGCAAGGCAAGCCAGAGGUGAAAGAGCAGGGCUCAACCCUGUACAUGCUUUUGGAACUGUGGUGCUAGAGUACAGGAGAGGUAAGUGGAAUUCCUAGUGUAGCGGUGAAAUGCGUAGAUAUUAGGAGGAACACCAGUGGCGAAGGCGGCUUACUGGACUGUAACUGACGUUGAGGCUCGAAAGCGUGGGGAGCAAACAGGAUUAGAUACCCUUGUAGUC